AGAUUGAACGCUGGCGGCAUGCCUUACACAUGCAAGUCGAACGGCAGCACGGGAGCAAUCCUGGUGGCGAGUGGCGAACGGGUGAGUAAUACAUCGGAACGUGCCCAGUAGUGGGGGAUAGCCCGGCGAAAGCCGGAUUAAUACCGCAUACGACCUACGGGUGAAAGCGGGGGAUCGACAAGACCUCGCGCUAUCGGAGCGGCCGAUGUCAGAUUAGCUGGUUGGUAGGUAAAAGCCUACCAAGGCGACGAUCUGUAGCUGGUCUGAGAGGACGACCAGCCACACGUGGGACUGAGACACGGCCCAGACUCCGUACGGGAGCAGCAGGUGGGAAUUUUGGACAAGUGGGACG
rnacentral:rRNA from 1 species